rnacentral:rRNA from 1 species
AGGGAUCAUUACCGAGUGUAAAAACUCCCAAACCAUUGUGAACCUACCACUGUUGCUUCGGCGGCCUCGCCCCGGGCGCGUUCGCGCGGCCCGGACCCAGGCGUCCGCCGGAGGCUCCAAACUCUUGUCUUUUAGUGUAUUUCUGAGUGGCAUAAGCAAAUAAAUCAAAACUUUCAGCAACGGAUCUCUUGGUUCUGGCAUCGAUGAAGAACGCAGCAAAAUGCGAUAAGUAAUGUGAAUUGCAGAAUUCAGUGAAUCAUCGAAUCUUUGAACGCACAUUGCGCCCGCCAGUAUUCUGGCGGGCAUGCCUGUCUGAGCGUCAUUUCAACCCUCAGGACCCGUUCGCGGGACCUGGCGUUGGGGAUCAGCCUGCCCCUGGCGGCGGCUGGCCCUGAAAUCCAGUGGCGGUUCCCUCGCGAACUCCUCCGUGCAGUAAUUAAACCUCUCGCGGCAGGAUAGCGGUUGAACCACGCCGUUAAACCCCCCACUUCUCAAGGUUGACCUCAGAUCAGGUAGGAAUACCCGCUGAACUUAA